rnacentral:tRNA from 1 species
AUUUAAAUAGCUUAUAUAGAGUAUUGUAUUGAAGAUACAAAGGAAAUUAAUUAUUUUUAAAUA